ACCAAUAAGAGGUCCCGCCUGCCCUGUGACUAUAUGUUUAACGGCCGCGGUAUUUUGACCGUGCAAAGGUAGCGCAAUCACUUGUCUCUUAAAUGGAGACCUGUAUGAAAGGCAUCACGAGGGCUUAGCUGUCUCCCCUUUAAAGUCAAUGAAAUUGAUCUCCCCGUGCAGAAGCGGGGAUAUGCUCGUAAGACGAGAAGACCCUAUGGAGCUUAAGACACAAGGCGACCCAUGUCAAACACACCCCUUAAAGGGAAUGAACAGGAUGAACCCCGCUGGAAUGUCUUCGGUUGGGGCGACCGCGGGGAAAGACAAAACCCCCACAUGGACUAGGGGAACUACUCCCCUAAAACCUAGACCCACGGGUCAAAUCAACAGUACUUCUGACCACCAAAGAUCCGGCAAUGCCGAUCAACGGACCGAGUUACCCUAGGGAUAACAGCGCAAUCCCCUCCCAGAGCCCUUAUCGACAAGGGGGUUUACGACCUCGAUGUUGGAUCAGGACAUCCUAAUGGUGCAGCCGCUAUUAAGGGUUCGUUUGUUCAACGAUUAACAGUCCUACGUGAUCUGAGUUCAGACCGGAGUA
rnacentral:rRNA from 1 species